rnacentral:rRNA from 1 species
UACGUAGGGUGCGAGCGUUUAAUCGGAAUUACUGGGCGUAAAGCGUGCGCAGGCGGUUCGCCAAGUCAGGUGUGAAAUCCCCGGGCUUAACCUGGGAAUUGCGCUUGAAACUAGCGGGCUUGAGUGUGGCAGAGGGGGGGUGGGAAUUCCACGUGUAGCAGUGAAAUGCGUAGAGAUGUGGAGGAACACCGAUGGCGAAGGCAGCCCCCCUGGGUCAAGAUUGACGCUCAUGCACGAAAGCGUGGGGAGCAAACAGG